UUACUUUUCCGUCGAGUAGACUCUCCCGGCUUGUCAGGUCUCUCCGUCCGUCCUUCUCAAAAAAAAAAUGGUCUCUCCGUCCGUCUCUCCACCGACAUGCCCUCGAAGACGUCGUCGUCUCCGCCGCCUCCGAUCCGCGCCUCGCGGCGGCACUGCGAAUGCUCCUCAGGUGCGGAAGAACAGCGGCGGCUGCUCCGCGCCACCGCGAGCCUCGUUGAGGUGAUGCAGCUGUCGCUGUUGCCGGGGAGCGCGAUCAGAGCAGACCACCCGCGACGAUUGCGGGUAGACGGUUCUGCUUGAGACUCCACUUGUUUUGUAUUGGAGUUGAAGCCUUUCCGAGCAUGAUUGGGAGUAUUUUCCAGUUUCCAUAAGCGGCCUGAUUCUGCCAAAUUUGCCGGCUCAACAGGUAUUCUGACCGUUUCGCCAUCAAAUAUGUCAGGCUACACUUGGGCUUACUGUCCAUAUUGUUCUGGGGUGUAUGGUGUAGGCAACGUGAUGUGCUAUUCUGUUCUGUUAUGACUCAAAUGUGUAGUGUUUCCAAGACACCACUAGUGCUGUUUAGGCAUGCCAUACCAAGAUUAUCCAUAGAGUAUUUGGACAACUGACUGCGAAUUUAUUCAAGUAAUAUUGAUAUGAAUUCUUAGUGAAUGUUAAGCAUACUAUUAAAAUCUUGGUGACACGAGCUCCCCAAUGUUCCUAACAUAUCCCACUGCUUGACUCCUGGUCAUUACUUUGGGGAGAUGGAGUGCUGCAACUGUGAUGCAGUUGGGAGGCAUGGAACCACAGGUCCAAGGAUUGUUGUGGUUGUGUUGUUGUGUGUGCCAAAAUCGCAUGUGGGACAUAGAGGGGCAGUUUGCAUAUUAUGUCAUCUUUCUCAGUGCAGAAAUUUAGGUAUGAGUCCCUUAACCUCAUCUUCCAGAAAUACCAUUAAUUGUGCAUAGUGAUCCAGCUGGGGUUUGGGUAAAGUUUUCUUCAUGUGUCAUUAUUGACCCACAUGCCUGUGGAUGCUCACGUAUGAUCAAGCUUGUUAACCUAGUUGCACUUGAUGCAUGUCUUUGAUAGGAGGUAAAAUUAAAAGGUUGAUCCUGUUACAGGACAAUAACACGAUUGCUUAAACUAUAGCCUUUGUCAAAACUAUAUAUAUAAAAGGUACACUGAGGUGUUUGAUUUGCUGCUUUUUGUAGUAUGUGCUAUAUGCAGCUCUAUAUUUUAAGUAGUAAAUCCAUCUUCAACAUUAAGAGGCGGAGUAGCUGAUCAAAUAUGCAUGACAUGAUUGAAUGUUUCUGAAUUCAAUAUGUUGCAUGAGCUUUUAACCAGACAGUAGCACCAUAGAGCACUGUCGAAGUCUCCGUUUUACCUCUUUCACUUACAAAAGCUGUAAAAUGUACAAGCUUCUUAAGUCAUGAAAGGGAUCCAGUUUUGCUAUGAGUUCUCUCAUGGUAGGAAAUAGUGAAUUUUGUGCUGAUUUGAUAUUGCAAACUUUCUGCUAGUGUGUGUGUGUGUUGGGGGGGGGGGGAUGAAUUUAUAUACUACAUGAGUGCUUACUGCAUAGUUGGGAUCUUAGAAGUUCUUUUUAAGAAUGUUUAUGAAUGAUGUUGGGGGGGGGGGAUCGGAUACAGAGUAGCUGCAAACUUUGUUAGCAAUUGCUUUAUGCAAGAUGUUUGAUCUUUGUUGACCUGUUCUUUUCCAUUUUCUUGAUAGUUGAGGUGCUCAGGAGCUUAAUCACUUAGUAGUAAUUUAUCAUUCCAUUGUUUGGGUUGUGAGGUGCAUUGUGUUAGCAAUUGAUUCACGCAGAUUAUGAAUGGCAAUUGUCAUGGUGCAUUUGUUAAAUCAGGUGUCCUAAGCAGUUUUUGUCAAUUAUACGAUAUCAGAUAUCCAAAACUGAUAAGUUGUUUCCCAUUUUUGUAAAAUGACUAUUCAGGCUAUGUUUUUAAGCACUCUGGUCUGGCUAUGAUUAGCUUGACUCUCAACAUAUCGAAAAAGUUGGUUUCUGAUUCUAGGCUUGAUUCAGUAACGUAUGCUUUAUAUUUUCCAUCAAUUUGUGCAAUGCAAGAUUCUGAAGUCAACUAGUUGGAGCUCAAGAGCCUAAACCUAUUUACGUUCAUGUAGAAUUUUGUAUCACAAAAAGAAAAACAGCUUCUACUUUUCCAUUCGCUCUUUAAGAAUUUAAUUAGCCAAUCUCAAAAUUUGUUAGUUAUAUUGUCAUACCUUCACUUCUACUGUUCCAUUCACUCGCAACAUGUUCAUAACCUAAUAAUUUGUUCUAUAAACUGAGUGUAUCUGAUGAUGCAUAUGUUGCCGGAUGCAGCCAAUUUAGGGUUUUACUUUGCUCAAUGACAGCGAAGGUUUCAAAGCAUGUAUGAGGUAUGGUUUUCAAUUCUUGAGUGCAAAUGCCGGAUGCUUUUGUAUGCUUCACAAUCUUGAUGGUGUAAAAUUUCGAUAUGCCGGACAUACUAUUUUUGGUCUUAGGGAUUGGAACCAAUAGUUUACAUUCUCAUAUCUAAUCUUCUGGUCCCUUACGUUAGACCCCAUCUUAUCCAUGAAAAACUGGAAAGCCUUCAUGUCUUUCGUACUAAUUUACAAAACGUGAACCAUGUGGCACAAGUAGUUAAGUUGUCUUUUUACAGUUAUAGUGGUUGCCCAAUCACUGCAACCUAGGUUUGUUAUCAUGUGUUACAAGUGCAGUGUAUGUACAAUGCAACCUAAUGUGACAAGGCCGGAUCAUUAUAUUCUCUAUAUCCUGAAAUUCACUUUAUCUUCUA